rnacentral:rRNA from 1 species
UACAGGGGGUGCAAACGUUGCUCGGAAUUAUUGGGCGUAAAGCGCGCGUAGGCGGCUACUUAAGUCGGAUGUGAAAGCCCCUGGCUCAACUGGGGAAGUGCACCCGAAACUGAGUGGCUUGAGUGCGAAAGAGGGUCGCGGAAUUCCCGGUGUAGAGGUGAAAUUCGUAGAUAUCGGGAGGAACACCGGUGGCGAAGGCGGCGACCUGGGUCGACACUGACGCUGAGGCGCGAAAGCCAGGGAGCAAACGGG